rnacentral:rRNA from 1 species
GACGAACGCUGGCGGCGUGCUUAACACAUGCAAGUCGAACGGACAGGCCCUGCUUUUGUGGGUUGCUCGAGUGGCGAACGGGUGAGUAACACGUGAGUAACCUGCCCUUGACUUUGUGAUAACUUCAGGAAACUGGGGCUAAUACCGGAUAGGAGCUCCUGCUGCAUAGUGGGGGUUGGAAAGUUUCGGCGGUUCGGGAUGGACUCGCGGCUUAUCAGCUUGUUGGUGGGGUAGUGGCUUACCAAGGCUUUGACGGGUAGCCGGCCUGAGAGGGUGAACGGCCACAUUGGGACUGAGAGACGGACCAGACUCCUACGGGAGGCAGAAGUGGGGAAUAUUGCACAAUGGGCGGAAGCCUGAUGCAGCAACGCCGCGUGCGGGAUGACGGCCUUCGGGUUGUAAACCGCUUUCGCCUGUGACGAAGCGUGAGUGACGGUAAUGGGUAAAGAAGCACCGGCUAACUACGUG